rnacentral:rRNA from 1 species
GAUAAACGCUGGCGGCGCACAUAAGACAUGCAAGUCGAACGGGCUUAAUCGACUCUUUUAGAUUCGAAGCGGUUAGUGGCGGACUGGUGAGUAACACGUAAGCAACCUGCCUAUUAGAGGGGAAUAACAGUGAGAAAUCACUGCUAAUACCGCAUAAGCUGAUAGUAUCGCAUGAUACAGUCAGAAAAGGAGUAAUCCGCUAAUAGAUGGGCUUGCGUCUGAUUAGCUAGUUGGUAAGGUAACGGCUUACCAAGGCGACGAUCAGUAGCCGAGCUGAGAGGCUCUACGGCCACAUUGGGACUGAGAUACGGCCCAG